rnacentral:lncRNA from 1 species
AUGCAAGUUGCGAAAAAAUCCCUUCAAAUGUUAAUCUCCCCGUCCAGUGUCCGUAAGUUGCAUAAAUUAGCAUCAAUUUUUCAUCAGCCUACUUUGACCCAAUUUUGGACGCUGUUAUUGAUGCGACGCACAGGCAUCAACCGUUCAAUUACUCCCCCUGAAGCGGAGUUGCCACGGACUUCGCAAUUUCACCAAUUUAUCGACCGAAGAACAUAUUCUGGAAGCAACACACGAGUUACCAUGACAAUUAAAAUAAAAGAUUUAGUUGAGAAGAUUGGUCAGUAAUUUAAAUUAAAUUAAAAGCUAAUCAAUCAGCCAAUGAGCAUUAGAAUGUAUUCAAUUAACAACUAAACUCACCUUUUAGUGCUGAAUGACACCCGAAGAGUUUUGAGGGUUAAUAGUUAUCGUAUAGUUUAGGUGACACGUCCAUGAAGCAUACGGAGCUCGAAAUCCCACAAAAUUGGAGUGAAAAUCAAAACUAGAAUAAAAUCAAACAAAAAAUAAAAAUAUGAAAGAAUUCAAUAUAAGAAAGGAGGAGCAAUUUUAACAAAAUUAAAACCAAAAUUAAGGAAAUAUAAGGCUAAAGAAGUAUAAAUACGUUUACGAGAUUCAGAUUAUGAGUACAAGACUAAGAAUUACGAUACAAUCAUUAUAUUUUUAUUACGAUAUUAAAAAUGAUCAGGGAAAGGUUGACGGCGAAGAGUUUCAGUUUGAUCAAACUAUCGAUCAAACAGUUUGUCAAUGAAGCGAAAUUGCGAUUCGAAAAAUCGAACGUCCGCUUCGAAGACCAAACUUCAUAUUUAACACAGGUUUAAUCGAAGAGUUCGAUCUUGAAGAGAAUGUUUGAUUUGACGGAUCGAAGAAUCUGUUUGACACACCGAAUAAUUUAUAUCAAUAUUGAACAUCAAAUGGAUCGCGUUAGGCAGAGAGGAACCCAGCCCACAUCAGCUUAUGUCAAAUAAUUGGGAUAUUUAAUUUUUUACAUGAAAACGGUUGUGCGGAUUUGUGUGCAAAUUUCAGCGAAUUUUCUGUGUAGUGCGAAGCAAAUUCCUUAAACUUUUCAAAGGAAUCCACACAAAAAUUCUCUGGUGAAGAAUUAAAUUUUCCAGUUGAACUAGGCAACAGCUGAUGUGGUUUGGUUCCUUUCUACUGAACGCGGUGCAAAUUUUCGGAUCAUACAAUCGAACUUUCGUUUGGGCCAAGUUUAGCAGUGGCGUGGCGUGAAUGAUCGAUUAUCGAUACUUCCCCAUUCGAAGCUAUAGUGAAGAAUCGAUUAUUAAGGCGUUCGCUGCAAACACCCUGUUUAUCGAUCCUUUUCCGUGGGUUUAAAUAGCAGAUCAAUCGAUAUAUCGCAAAGCACGCCACGCCACUGGCGUUUAGUAUAAAAGAACCAAGCCAAAUUAGCUACUGAGAAAUUUUACUAGGGAAUUUAAUUUGUUUACAAGAGGACUUUUAAGCGGAUUCCGUUGAAAAUGUUCAGGAAUUUGCUUCGUACCAGGCAGAAAAUGUGCUGACAUUAGCACGAAAAUCCGCACGACUGCUUUCGUGUAAAAAUUAAAUUGUUCGAUUCAAUUUGGCAAAAGCUGAUGUGGGUUGGUUCCUUUCUGUUCAACGCGGUCCAUUUAGCUGCAAUGGAAGUAAGACUGAAUAACUUGAAUCCACACAAACAUCGGCAGCAUUGUCCGGAAUACCCAGCCCUUGUCAAGACAUCAAAAUUCAUCGUGGGUCAGCUCAGCUUUGGAAUUCCGUGCAUUUUCAUUAGAGCCGUUUUGACGGUUGCAUGAGGGGGUUUUGAGAACGUUAACAAUUCAGCCGCUCAUUCGUGUCCGGGUUCGGCCACCCUGAUUUUCCCGCUCUCUGCGCAGGAAUCCACCCGACCAACUACGAUUAAAGCUGUCCACGUGCCUGAGUUCGCCCUUGAAAUUUCAAAAGGCCUCAUAAAUUUCAAUUUUUUUGAAAAAUUGAUUUAUUUGCCUCUUAAUUAAUUUUCUUCAUUGGGAGACUCUUCUAAUUUGGAUUAUAAUUGCCCCAACUCAUAUACAAGAGUUUUUUUCCCAUUUUAGUCUCACUUUGAGACAGUUAGCUCAACUGGCUGUGCCAUGACGGGACAACAUAACCUCAAAGAUUUAGAAAUUUCCUCUUCGAGUACCUCGACUGCGAAAUUAUGCAUGAAGAGCCUAUGGAAGAGCCCAGUACUCAGUAUGUAACGUUGGAGUACAUUUUUCUGCUGUUUUUUUUUUGUUUUUUUUUUAUGCUGUUUUCUUGUUUUAUUUUUGUUUUUUUUCAAAGUAUGGUAGGGAUUUUAUGAUCAUUUUUUUUAGUUGACCGGCAAAAAUCUAUGGCACGAAUGCAGACAAAACAAAUAAUGAUGAUUGCAUCUUUUCGAUUUUAGCCGCCAUUUUGCUGUGUGACGUCAAGAGGGCAUGCGACUCCCUAAUACUCCCCUUCAUUAUAACAAUAAAUAUUAAAAUGAAAAUGGAAUAAAAAUUGCAUAUUCGUCUUGUUAUGGCAAGCAGUAUGGGCUGAAAAAUUACUAGAAUCCAAAAAUUACUGAAAAUCAAGCCUAGAUUUCAAUUUUUCACGAUUUCAUUGAAAUUUCAUGAAAUUUCACGUGAAAUUUCAAAUGAAAUUUCAAAAUCUUAUAUUUCAUGAAAUUUUCCAUCUCAGCCACGUGCUCAGAUACUCAGAUACUCAGAGACUCAGAGAGUGAGUAAUUAAGGAUCGACGCUCAAUCGUGGUUUAUACGAUCGUCGUCCCGUGAGUUAUGGCCCUCCUGGAUCCGAAAUGCACGGAAACAUCUCUUGUCUAACUAGAUGGAGUCCACUGCCGUGCUAAGGAAAAACGCCGUAUGUACAUUUAUGAGUUGCCAAAUUUCCGCGUAUAAAACAUGUAUUUUCGAGGAGAUAUCUUCUCCUGACACUUUCGGAUAAUAUAGAUCUAAUUACAAAGAAAAUUCUCUGCAUAAUUGAUUGGAAAAUGUUCGCGAGUUUUCCUAAAAUUUCGUAUUUAAUCAAAGUAAAUUUGGCAACUGACGAAGGUUCAUACGGCUUUUUCCUUAGCACGGCAGUCCUGGCCAUACGGGUUUCUGGGGGAAAACUUUAUCAAUUGAUUCCCAAGAGGACCGCGUUUAGCAUGAAGGAACCAAGCCACAUCAGCCAUCGCCAAAUUUAACUGGGCAAUUUACUUUUUACAAGAGAAUGUUUCUGCGGUUUCCUUCGAAAAUGUUAAGGUAUUUGCUUCACACUAUACAGAAAAUUCACUGAAGUUUGCAUAAAAAUCCACACAACCGUUUUCAUAUAAAAAAUUGAAUUGCUCAAUUAAAAUUGGGGAUAGUUGAUGUGGCUUGGUUCUUUUCUGUUUAACGUGGUCCAAGUAUGCUUCAACGCUGAAUGUAAAUCUUGAAUUCAUGUAAGAAUAUAUUUCUAGUAACAGGCUAGUGACGAAGUUAUUCCCUUCAAACGAAGAUAAUUAAAGACUUUAAUUAGAAAAAAAUCAUCAAAAAAUUGCAUACUGACAAACUUUCCCCAUUUGACAUUCCUCACCUCCUCAUUUCAAAUUAUCCGCCCCAUCAGCUAAAGUACCAAGAAUAUAAGUAGGACUUAACGCGAACACAAAAUAAAAUGGAGAUACGUGGUUUUUCCUAAAUCUAAUCUUCUUAAAAUCCUAUAGUAGAUUUUAAGGACGAUUUCACGCACACAUUUUUCACGGUACGAGCACCGACCUCGGAAGAAUCCGGACUUAUCACACACCAAGUUUGUACAAAAAUAUGUCAUGUGUGACUUUCAAAUUUGCACAUUAAUUUAUUUAGGACUUCAAUUUACGCCCACGCAUCUGCUUCACCCUCAUCAC